rnacentral:rRNA from 1 species
AGUGAACGCUGGCGGUAGGCCUAACACAUGCAAGUCGAACGGCAGCACAGUAGGAGCUUGCUCUUACGGGUGGCGAGUGGCGGACGGGUGAGGAAUACAUCGGAAUCUACUUUUUCGUGGGGGAUAACGUAGGGAAACUUACGCUAAUACCGCAUACGACCUACGGGUGAAAGCAGGGGAUCUUCGGACCUUGCGCGAUUGAAUGAGCCGAUGUCGGAUUAGCUAGUUGGCGGGGUAAAGGCCCACCAAGGCGACGAUCCGUAGCUGGUCUGAGAGGAUGAUCAGCCACACUGGAACUGAGACACGGUCCAGACUCCUACGGGAGGCAGCAGUGGGGAAUAUUGGACAAUGGGCGCAAGCCUGAUCCAGCCAUACCGCGUGGGUGAAGAAGGCCUUCGGGUUGUAAAGCCCUUUUGUUGGGAAAGAAAAGCAGCAGGUUAAUACCCCGCUGUUCUGACAGUACCCAAAGAAUAAGCACCGGCUAACUUCGUG